UACGAAGGGGGCUAGCGUUGCUCGGAAUCACUGGGCGUAAAGCGCACGUAGGCGGAUUUUUAAGGCAGGGGUGAAAUCCUGGAGCUCAACUCCAGAACUGCCUUUGAUACUGGAAGUCUUGAGUCCGGAAGAGGUAAGUGGAACUGCGAGUGUAGAGGUGAAAUUCGUAGAUAUUCGCAAGAACACCAGUGGCGAAGGCGGCUUACUGGUCCGGUACUGACGCUGAGGUGCGAAAGCGUGGGGAGCAAACAGG
rnacentral:rRNA from 1 species